rnacentral:lncRNA from 1 species
CCGUAUCCUCUGCCUGAGCAUAAGCCCUGCUCCGUGCUUGGCACCUUCAGUGUUUCUGGAGCAGACGGGUCCUUCCGGCGUCAGAGGCUGGACGCUGUGGGUGGCGCCUUGGCCAUGCUGCCUGUCUGCGGACACCACGGAGCGUCUGUGACUGGUGUUGACACGACGCAGUCAGGGCACCUUCGUGGUUACCUGGUGCUCUGGCUUGGAGAACACCUGUGCCUUCAAAGCCACUGGACUCAGAGCGGGUUUCUGGGGGGAACUUGAGAGGGUAAGGCUGCUUUGAGAUCAGUGCCCCAGCCAGGUGGCAAUGCCAGGGGUGGGGGGAGGAGCCAUCUGACCGCUGUGGCCACCCUGCCUUUGCCCACUGGGGUGUGGGUGUGCCUGGGGCUCCCCGGACCCCAGAGCUCCCUCCUGCCCGUACCCACCUCCGGUGGACGGCGUCCUUGUGGCCGGGGAGUGCUUGCGCUUUCUGGAGGCCUGUCGCCACACAGUGAGUGCGGGGGCCACACGCGUCUCAGAGAGAAGCCUGCUGCUUGUCCGUGGCCCCACGUGCUCCCCACGUUGGCUGGUCCCUCCAGCUGUGCAGGGUGGGGCCCACCGGCCUUCGUGGCCACCUUGGAACUUAACGGGGUAGUCCUGUGCUGGAGGCACAGAGCAGGGGCAGCGUGGACUCUGGCGCUUAGUAGCUGGUGGCUUUUGAGCCCCAGCCCCCACCCCCCCCAGAGCAGGGUUUCCCGCGGCUUUUGUGAAGCUCAUGCUGGGAAUGAUGUCAGUGGCGGGGGGCACAUCUGUUGUGGGCAGUGUCUGGUGGCAGGACAGUGGGUCCACAUCUGUCAGGUCCCAUCCAGGGUCUCAGGGGAUGGGGGAACCCCCCCCCCCCGCCCCUGGGUUCCUCUGGACUCUGCAGGAAGUGGGGAGAGCUGGUGUCUCCUACAGCCGCUCUCUGUUGGAGCAUUCUGGGUGCCUGGCCAGGUCAGCCCCAGGCCUGAGAUGGGCCUCCACGAGCCUGGCCCGGAGCCCCGGGUCCUGGCCGAGGACGGCCGAGCUGCCCGCGCCCUGCCUGAGGCCUUGUCCCAGCCGUGCCGGCUGGCUGAGCGGGACUGCCGCGGGCACUGGACAGGAUGGAGGCUGGGCUGGGACAGAGGCCGCAGGGACAAAGCGGGGAUUGUGUUGGGCCCCACCCUGAGAGGUGGCCCCGGCCUUGCUCUGCAGUCUCUGAGGGGCCAGUGUUCUGGAGCUGGGCAGCAGCGCCCCCCCUCAGCCCCCAGAGCAGUGCUCCCAGAGGCCCCAGGGCUUAAGGGAGCAGAGCUUUUCUUCCAGGGUGGUUUCCUUGCUGGAACCUGGGCUGACAGGGCCUCGGGUGGACUCUGAGGGUCACAAAG